CAAAUGAGCUGCCCGCCAUGAGCAGUGCAUUGUCUCUUUCUGGGCCUGCAUGACACCUAGGUGCAUGUACUAUAUGAUACGCAAAAACAAAGUAAGACUCUUUUGCUUAAAAACAUCUUCUAGUUGCUAUUUCUAAAAUAGUCAUUACCAUUUAAAACUAAAUUUGGAUGCCACUUUUGUUUAUGAAGUUUCUCUUAAAAAAUCUUCCAUAUGUGGAUGAUUUGAAUAUUCACUUUAAUUUUCUAGAGUAUGGCAUUAAAAUGUCGGUCUAGGCAAGCUGUCAGUUAUCAAAUUCAGCAUUGUAACAAGCUGUGAAUUCAUGGGAUAGAAGUAGGAAGCCACAUAUAAGAUGUGACAAUCUUUCAUUUGUCGCAUGUAAGAGCGAAUUUAUCUUCCUUUGCAAAGCAAAGUUUUAGAUUUUUGGAAAACCUUACCGCUUGAAGAUUGCUUUACCUCCAGAACACUUUGGAAUUGUAUGGGGUUCUCAAGAUGGGCUCUGGUAGAAGAUUACAAUGUAUAAUUUCAGUAUUAAUCUUCAGGGGUGUGGAAAGGGAGAUGCCCAGAGUGAACCUGAAACAUAUUUUACCAAUUGCACAUUAAUUUUAAAUUGCCAAGGGCAAUGAAGAAAAUAAAGAACAGCUGUCCUUGGAAAAUUUAGAGCAAGUAAACUAGAGUUUCUCUGUCUAUUUUUUAAUCAAAAUGGGUGUGAGGUGAAUGUGGGUGGAAAUAGAGGACAGUCUUCUGUGGGAGGGAGCUGAAGAGUCUUGCGGUGUCUGCAGAAAUGCAAAUGCAAAAUGGAAAUACUAAAUCCAGGCAAAUCAGGACUGAAUAUUCAUUUUCACAAUUAGUAAUCUAAUUUGUUUUAAGGAAACUCUGAGAAACUAUUUGUUUCCAAAUGAGUGGUCACGUUAAAUUAAUAGGGGCAGAUCCUUCCUCUGAGAUGGCGAACCCUGAGUCCUUGCCUGUACCACUCGCCCAUGUGGUUUAGGGUUUGGUUUAGGACUGUUAUUACUUUCCUGUUGUCCGAUGACUGUUUUUUUUUUUUUUUUUCAGCCCAUGAGUUCUUCAACCUUCUUUUCUCUUUGUUACCCAUGGUUUUAUACAUUUUCCUCUUCUUUAACAUAUCCCCAUGGAAUAGAAAUGAAGAAAAUUAAUAGGACUUUAUUCAAUCGUUACAAUAAAUCAUCUUGCUUCUGGGUGUAUUUGGGUUUGGAGGUUGGGUAGGUGUCAGAAAAUGACAAUGGUUUAUUUUCAAGUAGUGCUGAAGGUGUUUUUAGACAGAAGAAAGUUGGUAGAACUGUCUUGCUACAGAGUAAGCAUGCUAGGCUCUAUGUUUUUGCAUGACAUUCUGAUGAGCUCUGUGACAUUUUAUGGUACACUGUUAGCAUAGUGGUGAAGAACAUUAGCCCAAAAGACUUUCUUGAUUGUAAUCUCUGUUUUACUCCUUAUUAACUCUGCCAUGUAACCUCUCUGUGUCUUUAUUUCAUCACCUGUGGAACAGGAUAAGGGUCAUGUCUCCUUCAAGGGGUUGUUGUGAGAACUAAAAGAGAAUGCUUAGACAUUGGCACAUGUUGAGUGCCCAGUAAGUGUGAGUCUUAUUUAGAGGUAAAUCCAGUCAUUGAGGCCAAUUAUAAUUAAGUGGUCCAAUUAUUGAUUUAAGGCUCUAGGAGAUUGAAGAACUUUGUUUUUUUUUUUUUAAAUAGCAAUUUACAUUGGGAAAUAAAUCACCCAAGUUCACUUUAUCUGUUCAUUUUAUGUGGCUCUUAGAACAAACAGCAAAAUUAACUGGUUUGGCUUUUAACCUUCUCUUCAGUGAUUUGUGGACAUUUGAGCAUUAAAAUAUCCUGAGCAGUAAAAUAGCCAGAGGCUCGGGAAGAACACAACAGUUUUCAGAUUAUCUCAAGCUUUUUCUCAGAAGCCAAAGAAACAAACACCACAAAACACCCCGAAAACCAAAAGCAGGCAUUCUUCCUCCCGGGAUUUAGUACCUGCUGCUGCAACUGCGCUGAGGUGGAGAGGCAGAGGGCAGCAGCGAGACACCAUUAGGCCUUUUCUGAUGUUUUCCAUCUCUGCAGCAGAGGAAUGAAAAGGAAUCUUGCAAAAAGCAAUGGCCCACUUUGGCCUUGAGUUUGAGUCUCUUUUCUAAUUUAUUCUAGUAACAUUUUCUAGUACUUAAACCUGAGCUACACGAGUGAUGAGCUUGAAAAUAAAUUUAUUUAGCUGUCUCAUCCUUUCCAACUUACUUUAAUACUUACCUAUGCCUGGCCAUACACAUGUUAGAUGGAUUUUAGUCUGUACUUUUGGGGGUAUUUCUUACAGGGAAGGCAUUAGAGGAAAAAAUAUUAGAAAUAUGGUUCCUGUUCUAAAAGAUGAGCUUCAAUCUAACUUCAAGAUGGAUUUCAGUCUACUUUCAUGUUGACCAGUUAUCCUGCAUAGUUCCACGGAUACUAGUAGAAGACACAAGACUCCUGGAUCUUUGACACAGGACAGUUUAUUACUGUCAGUAGCUAGAGUAGUGCAUUUUGUGCUGGUUCCCUGAGCCCUGAUUCCUAAGGGCACUGCAAUGAUGGCAAGGUGAUACUUAUGGAUGAUACAGUUGGUUGUGUUAUAGGAGGAAAAACUCUGAAUGCAGGAAGCUCAAAUCUUUUAUAAUGGCCAGCAAGCAAGCCAUUUGCUCUAGGAGACACCAUCUCUACAUGCUAAGGCUGCAAGCAACCCUGCUUUUUGUUCCAAAGGGUAGAUAUUGGAACAGAGGGUGCUCCCACCACCCUGGGGUGAUGUUGGUAGUGGUGAUAUGAUGUGGGAAGAUGCUUUGUGAGCAGUUGUAUCCAGAGGGUGGCAGAUCCCAGGUGCUGUGCUGCAUCGUUUGCCUUAGCUCUUUCUGUAGGCUCUCGUGAGCUGUUGACAGAUUUGGAUGGGAGUGUAUCUUGAUAUCUUUGACAGAGAGUAGAAUUGGUGGGAAUAGAAUGGGGGUAAGGUGGAAGGCAGGGUGGUUUGAUUGAAUUUGGGGAGUAAUUGAGAUAAGAAAUGAUGGAGGUUUAGACUAGAGUAUUUGUGAUGGAAAGAAGGGAUAGAUAGAAAGACUUCGCAGACAAACAGAAUCUGAUGACUUGCUGGAUAUUGGAAGUCAGGGAGAGGGGAAAGCAAAAACGGACUUUAAGCUUCCAAGAUGAGGUGAAUGAGACCUUUAGCUAAGGCAGAAUGCAAGAUGAGCAGUAGGUUUGGGAGGGAUAGAGACUGGUUUUGGAUAUUCUCAAUGCAAGUGGCAUGUUAUAAGAAAUAGAAUGAAGGCAACAGGAGAGAUGGCAGGAGUUAUUCUUAGAGAGGUAAGGUUUUGAGUGUCUAUGUCAAGAUGAUAGUGGAGAAAAGGACAGAAUCUUUGUGAAUGCUUCUAUUUUGAUGAUGAGAGGGAGAAGAAUAAUGGAGAUAUAAGACAGAGGUAUAGGAGGAAAAGGAAGAGAGGAUGGUUGUAAGGGAAUCCAUAAGAGGGGAGGUUCCAAGAAGGAAGAAGUCAGCUGUGUCAAAUACUCUAGAAAGGUCAGAUUGGGGGAGGAACAAGAAACAACCAUUGGGUUUAGUGGUUGGGAAGUCAACUAGAUAAUAGCAAGGUUGUACUUAUUUUUUUCUUAGGUCUUACUCUUCUCACAAGAACCGUAUGAGACAGGUGGUAUUAUCUCCAUUUGCAUAAGCCCCUGAAGUGAAGAAACGUGAUUUGAUUUGUGUAAGUCUCAGAGGUAGAGAGCAGUAUACUACAACUUGCCUCCAAGACUGUGUUUUAAAUACCCUUACUGCCCAUGCUUUUAACCAGUCAGCAUGAGGAGAUGGAGAUAACUAUAGUCUGACCUUUUUUUUUGAGGAUACUGGAGAUGAAGGAAAGAAAAAUAGAAGACAAGCUUUUAAAGAAAAACAUUUAAAAGUUUGAGAGUACUGUAGGAAAGGUGCAUCCUUGGCCCAAGAAAGAUGCACUGCCUUUGCUGAGGAUCGCUGCAACACCUCGGGAGGUCUCUUCAUAGCAGACAUAAUGUCAAUAUAGAAUCUGCAUAUGACAAUAUAUUAAAAAUUUUAACGUAUUGCAUUUUAUGUUUUUGGAGUAUAUCACACUCUCUCUCACACAGUCUUCAUAAAACUCUGUAGGUAGUUGAGCAGAUAUGUAUUAAUAGGCUCAGUUGUACAUGUGGUAUCAGAGGCCAGAACAAGGUAGGGUAAACCUGUCACAGGUCACGCAACUAGGCAAAGCUGGGGUUUGGAGCCUAGUCUCCUGGCUCUAAGUCAGAAUUAUCCUAUGGCAGCAGAAACGGUGAGAGGAAGAGUUGGUGGACAAUGCAACUUAGUGGUGAUGAGGGAGCUUGAUCCUACAGGAAUGCCCAGAGGCUGUGAGAUACUCCUUUUGCCCAGGUUCAUGCUGUGAGGAAAAACUGAAGGGUGCAUUGAGUGAGUCACAGCCAGUGCCUCUGUUAGAUACUGGGCUAGGGAGACCUCUGGGAGAGUGUGGGGCCCCAAAGGUUACUACUGAAAUUGGAAACUCCCUGUUACUCUGUCACUUUCCUCUAGGCCCCGUCUAGGCACUUCGCCAGUGGCUUGGGUAGAAGG